UGAGCAAUCUGCCCUUCUCUUCGGAAUAAGCGUUGGAAACGACGUCUAAUGCCGAAUACGACCUCCUUUCGCAUGAUCGGAGGUGGAAAGCUCCGGCGGAGAAGGAUGAGCUCGCGGCCUAUCAGCUAGUUGGUGUGGGUAAUGGCCCACCUAGGCGACGACGGGUAGCCGGCCUGAGAGGGUGACCGGCCACACUGGGACUGAGACACGGCCCAGACUCCUACGGGAGNAGCG
rnacentral:rRNA from 1 species